UCAGAAUGAACGCUGGCGGCAUGGCUAAGACAUGCAAGUUGAACGGACCAUUUUGAAGAGUAAUCGGAUUCAUGGUUAGUGGCGAAAGGGUGAGGAAUAGAUAGGUAACGUACCGCGGGCUCUGGAAUAGCUCAUCGAAAGAUGGGGUAAUGCCGGAUGAUGUCCUCUGUUUAAUUCAGAGGACCAAAGAUUUAUCGGCCUGUGAGCGGCCUAUCUCCUAUCAGCUUGUUGGUGAGGUAACGGCUCACCAAGGCGACGACGGGUAGCGGGACUGAGAGGUUGGCCCGCCACAUCGGAACUGAGACACUGUCCGGACCUCCACGGAGGGCUGCAGUAACGAAUAUUGGGCAAUGGGCGAAAGCCUGACCCAGCAAUGCCGCGUGUAGGAUGAAGCCUUUCGGGGUGUAAACUACUUUCAGGGAUUAGAAAGCUUCGGUUGAUCAGUCCCAGAAGAAGUCACGGCUAACUUCGUGCCAGCAGCCGCGGUAAUACGAAGGUGGCAAGCGUUAUUCGAAAUCACUGGGCUUAAAGGGUGCGUAGGCGGAACUGAAAGUGUCUUGUGAAAUCCCCCGGCUUAACCGGGGAAUGGCUGAGCAAACUACAGUUCUUGAGGCAAGUAGGGGUGUGUGGAACUCUUGGUGGAGCGGUGGAAUGCGUAGAUAUCAAGAGGAACGCCGAAGGUGAAGACAGCACACUGGACUGUACUGACGCUGA
rnacentral:rRNA from 1 species